GGGAGCUUAGCUGCCAUCUGGAUGGCCGUCUAGACGGAGGGCUUGCUCCUAUCACCCCAGACUCCAAACCCAAUUGAUCAUGCCACUGCACCCUUCUGCACACCACGUCAGCUGGGUCCAGUCUUAAGAAGAGUUCCAAGGGCUACAACACACAAGGCAUGCCGCUUGGCAGCAAGCACCACUGGGGACUGCGCUGGCCAGGAUCUCGCCACCACCUCAACAAGGCUUGGGAAGAUUAGCAGCCACCCGGAAGGUCAACUACAUAGAGGGCUUGCUCCGAUCUGGACUGAAUAUGAAUGCAGUCGAUCAUGCCGCUGCACUGUUCUUCACACCACGACAGCUGGGUCCAGUCUUGACAGGAGGCCAAAGGCUCCACCCACAAGGCACAUGGCUUGUCAGCAACAACACAGAGCACCAGUGUGUCCAGGCCACAUCCACCAACAAGCCCGAUGCCCUCUGCAAGUCCGGUUGACACAGGGCAAGAGCCAUGAGCACCCAAGCUCUGGCAGCCUUCCCGGGAGCUCUCGCUCUCUGGGCACACAGGGAUCUCCCUGCUUGGGCGGACGGUGGGUCUGCCGGGACUCGACGUGCCAUGGGGCCCUCCCAUGA
rnacentral:lncRNA from 1 species